GAUGAACGCUGGCGGCGUGCCUAAUACAUGCAAGUCGAGCGAACGGACGAGGAGCUUGCUUCUCUGACGUUAGCGGCGGACGGGUGAGUAACACGUGGAUAACCUACCUAUAAGACUGGGAUAACUUCGGGAAACCGGAGCUAAUACCGGAUAAUAUAUUGAACCGCAUGGUUCAAUAGUGAAAGACGGUUUUGCUGUCACUUAUAGAUGGAUCCGCGCUGCAUUAGCUAGUUGGUAAGGUAACGGCUUACCAAGGCAACGAUGCAUAGCCGACCUGAGAGGGUGAUCGGCCACACUGGAACUGAGACACGGUCCAGACUCCUACGGGAGGCAGCAGUAGGGAAUCUUCCGCAAUGGGCGAAAGCCUGACGGAGCAACGCCGCGUGAGUGAUGAAGGUCUUCGGAUCGUAAAACUCUGUUAUUAGGGAAGAACAUAUGUGUAAGUAACUGUGCACAUCUUGACGGUACCUAAUCAGAAAGCCACGGCUAACUACGUG
rnacentral:rRNA from 1 species